rnacentral:miRNA from 1 species
UUGCAACGUUAACCUGAGGCACC